GCCCGUCUAGCUCAGUCGGUAGAGCGCAGGGCUCUUAACCUUGUGGUCGUGGGUUCGAGCCCCACGGUGGGCG
rnacentral:tRNA from 1 species